rnacentral:rRNA from 1 species
GACGAACGCUGGCGGCGUGCUUAACACAUGCAAGUCGAUCGGUAACAGGUGUAGCAAUACAUGCUGACGAGAGGCGGACGGGUGAAUAAUGCUUGGGAAUCUGCCUAUUAGUGGGGGACAACCCGGGGGAAACUCGGGCUAAUACCGCAUACGCUCUACGGAGGAAAGCCGGGGACCGCAAGGCCUGGCGCUAAUAGAUGAGCCCAAGUCGGAUUAGCUAGUUGGUAGGGUAACGGCCACCAAGGCGACAAUCCGUAGCUGGCCUGAGAGGACGACCAGCCACACCGGAACUGAGACACGGUCCGGGCUCCUACGGGAGGCAGCAGGUGGGGAAUAUUGGACAAGUGGGGGCAACCCUGA